GACGAACGCUGGCGGCGUGCCUAAUACAUGCAAGUCGAGCGGACGGAUGGGAGCUUGCUCCCAGACCGUCAGCGGCGGACGGGUGAGUAACACGUGGGCAACCUGCCUGUAAGACUGGGAUAACUCCGGGAAACCGGGGCUGAUACCGGAUAACUCUUUCCCUCACAUGAGGGAAAGCUGAAAGAUGGCAUCUCGCUAUCACUUACAGAUGGGCCCGCGGCGCAUUAGCUAGUUGGUGAGGUAACGGCUCACCAAGGCGACGAUGCGUAGCCGACCUGAGAGGGUGAUCGGCCACACUGGGACUGAGACACGGCCCAGACUCCUACGGGAGGCAGCAGUAGGGAAUCUUCCGCAAUGGACGAAAGUCUGACGGAGCAACGCCGCGUGAGUGAUGAAGGUUUUCGGAUCGUAAAACUCUGUUGUCAGGGAAGAACAAGUACCGGAGUAACUGCCGGUACCUUGACGGUACCUGACCAGAAAGCCACGGCUAACUACGUG
rnacentral:rRNA from 1 species